rnacentral:misc_RNA from 1 species
GGAAGUAAAAGUUGUAACAAGGUUUCCGUAGGUGAACCUGCGGAAGGAUCAUUAUCGAAAUACUUAUUUAGCGUUCCGUGCUAUCCCAUUGUUUUAUUUACCCUGUUGCUUCCACUGGAUGAGUUUCCAUACCUUGUGUUUGAGAAACUUUGGCUUGUGUAAGAUUCAUUCACGGCCAGCCAGUGAGAAGACCAUUUACAAAACCCUGUUAAGAACCAAUUGUCUGAAUAUUUUACUCCAAUGAAAUAAAACUUUCAACAACGGAUCUCUAGGCUCUU